GUUGGCAUCAGUUGGCAUCGCUGGAUAGAUAUCCAAGAACCUUUAAAAAUAUACCUUUAAUCUGUUAACAGUUAAAUAGUUAAUGCAUUAGCCAUUUUUUGAUCGAACUUCUCAACGGAUCUCUUUGAGCAGCGAGUCUGGAAUAAUCCGGAUUUUCUUUCAGGCACUCUCAGUUCAGAGAGAAUUGAAUGUGAUUGAAUCACAUGUUGGGAUAAUUGAUGACGCCGAGUACAUUCCACAAAUUUGAUUGAAUCGUGGACAGUUCAAUUAAUCUUAAGUAUUCUGGAGAUAAUUCAGAGACCCUUACACCAUGGUUAACGUUAAUACAAGAGUAUUCUUUGACGUUGAGGUCGGUGGACUGCCUAUGGGCAGAAUAGUCUUUGAGCUAUUUUCAGACACUUGUCCCAUAACAUGCGAGAAUUUUCGAGCGUUAUGUACUGGAGAAAAAGGACUUGGGAAUACGACAAACAAACCGUUGCAUUACAAAGGCAUCGUUUUUCAUCGGGUCGUAAAAGAUUUUAUGAUUCAAGGAGGAGAUUUCUCGAUAGGCAAUGGAACAGGUGGCGAGUCGAUUUAUGGUGGUACAUUUGGAGAUGAAAACUUUAUUAUGAAACAUAACAAGCCUUUCUUGUUAUCAAUGGCGAAUCGUGGUAGAGAUACCAAUGGUUCACAAUUUUUCAUUACAACACAACCAGCGCCUCACCUCGACAAUGUCCAUGUGGUUUUUGGAGAAGUAGUGUCUGGGCAAGAGAUCAUUACGCAUAUUGAAGGACUUCCAGUAGACCGAAUGUCACGUCCAUUACAAGAUGCUAAGGUUGUGAACUGUGGCGAAUUAGUUUUGAAGAUCAAAAGUAAAGCAAAAAAACGAGAAGCGAAGCAAAGUAGUUCGGCGGAUUCAGAGUCUGAUUCUUAUGCUGAUAAAGCGAAGAAGAAAAAGAAGAGCAAGAAAAGUAAAAAGAGAGCAAAGUCAGAAGAAGGUGAGAUUCGGGAUUCUGAGGAAGACGAUGGGAAACCUCAUCCAUUAGUAUCCGUAACCAAAAUUGAUCCCGACGAAAUUCCAGAAGUACCAGCAAAUAAAUUUUUAUAUAGGGCAGGGUCUACCAAUAAUGCAAAUCAGAAAGAAUUUAGACAGCAUUAUGGAAGAGAUCGUGUACGAUCUCAUAGAAAGACUGGUCGUAUUUUCAAGGGUAGAGGAAUAUUCCGAUAUCAUACUCCUUCUCGAAGUCGUUCUAGAAGUAUGACACCACCUCAUUGGAAGCAAGCUCAAAAUCGUACUAUCAAAUUGCAUGAAUUUCAGGUACAUAAAAUAGAAAAAGAGCGUCUCAAAAAAGAAGAAGAGUUUAAACAACGUGAAAUUGACAGAAUUAAAAGAUUCGUAGAGAAUCCCGAUGAAAAUGAUCAAUUGCCAGAUCUCGAUAACAAUAUAUGCACAACGAAAUUAACAGAGAAUAAAGAGAACGAUCAAGUAGACGAACCAGCGGUUACGACUAAAAUCGCACAAGAUAAUAACGUAAAGAGAAACACGGAAGGAAAUGAUAUUAUGCAGAACAAGGAGGAGAUUAAACAUAGCAAAUAUGAGAAGUCAUUUAAACGUGAUGCUAACCGUUCUUACAAUGAUAGAAAUUCUCGGCGUGAUUCUAAAGAUACUAACAGAAGACGCGAACGCUCUCGAUCAAGAGAUCGUCGAAGAUCCAGAGAGAGAGAUUAUGGUCGUAGAACAAGUCGUGAUAGAAGAAAUCGGAGAAAUUAUUCUCCUCGAAGACGAGAUUCUUACAGAACCAACAGACCUGGAAGAGAUAACAGGCACUAUGAUAAGCGCAAUGAUCGACGUCGGAAUAAUUCGAAUUCCCAUCAGGACAAUGAUAUCAACUCUCGUUACAAUAAAAAUAAAUAUAAGAAGAACGAUAAUGUAUCAGACACGAACCAGGCGAAAUUUAAACGCCGUUCACAGUCAAACAGCUCCAGUAGUCGACACUCCAAAGAUUAAUCCGCGUCGUUUUCACGUUCUUUUUUCGCUUAUUGACACCAAUGAAAUACUAUUAAAGUAAAAUUUGUGACUUAUUUAAAAAAUAAAUAUUUGAACGAUUAGUUUAUAAUGCAGUAUUUAUUAUCAGAUAUUUCAUAGAUAAGCAUAUACAAUAAUAUAUAUGUUUCUGCGAUCUACACAAUAGAGUUUUUUAAUCGCCGCACUGAUGAACAGCACUAGAACUUUUUUUUCUCUCACCAAACAUCAAAUAUAAGUCUAUUAUUUUAAGUACGAGUGAUACUAAUUCUUCUUUUUCUUCUUGUCCGCUUGCUCGAGUUUUUGACCCAAGAAGACACUAGUUCAGCUAUAAAAAAUAGAUUUAAUAAAACUGUAAUCAGAUUAGAGAAUGGCAGCGAAUUCGGCACUGACUCUGCUUUGGUGCUGUCCUGACAUGAUAUAAUCAAUUUGGGAUAUCUCGCUAAUGCUACUGAGCAUUCUAAUACUAUCGAUGUACAAUCACCAACAUAUUUGCGAAAUGCGAAUUAAUAAUACCAUAAUAAUAUUGGAGCAAUAUAUCUCGUUUUUCUUUCGAUUACAUAUUUGUGAUUGAUGCACAUGCUUUAUCAUUGGAAUGUACAAUAAGGUUUAUCUACAACAUUUACAUACUUUUAUGAGAAUGUCUAUUUUUCACAUCUUCUUUUCUAUGUUGGAUAUAUAUGUAUAUUGUAUUGGUAAAUAUUUUUUAAAAAUAUUUCUGUAUGAAGUCUCCAAAACUUUUCAAUAUCAAUUCUUUUUAGAAUUCACAUAGUUGUUCUGUUAAAAUGCAUGUAUGCAUUUAUAUAUAGGGUGUACAAAACAGAGUGUACAAAAAGUCUCGGGCCCUUUAAAUAUCUUGAGAAGAGUAAACAUUUUUGAAAAAUGUUUCAGACAAAAGUUGUAGGGUUUAAAAAGAUUCAUUCACUAAUCACACAUGUUUGACUUUGGAUGGCGUUGCCAAGGUUAGAUCAUCAAAUCGAUUUUUUUUUAAUGGGACACUAUUUUUUAUAAGAAUCUAAUAGCUUUUCAGUUUUUAUUGUUCAGAACAUAUGGAUAACAUUCAAGAGAUUUUAGCUUGGUUGGAUAUGUUGAGUAAUGGUAAUAUCGGCGGUACUCUAACUUUCAAGUUUUAUAAUUUGAAAAAUACUUGAUAAAAAAUAAUUAUUAUAGUGUUUUGGAAAGCUCUUGACAUCAGCUAUUAAAUUCUGACAUCAAAAAUAGGAUGUUCCUUAGUUUAAAAAAUUGAUUUGACCUUGACCUGACCUUAGCGACACCAUUCAAAGUCAAACGGAUGUCUUCUUCUUAAUUAAUGACAUCUGCCUCUAGGAACAAGCGUUUAAAGCUCAUUACAACCAGAUCGCGUUUCAAAA